rnacentral:tRNA from 1 species
GGCAACCUCAAUGGUUGAGCGUUGGCUUUGAGAGCCACAGGUCGGUGGUUCGAACCCACCAGGGCACAGCCU